UACGGAGGAUGCGGGCGUUAUCCGGAUUUAUUGGGUUUAAAGGGUGCGUAGGCGGAUUUUUAAGUCAGCGGUAAAAUGUCCGGGCUCAACCCGGGCCGGCCGUUGAAACUGGGGAUCUUGAGUGGGCGAGAAGUAUGCGGAAUGCGUGGUGUAGCGGUGAAAUGCAUAGAUAUCACGCAGAACUCCGAUUGCGAAGGCAGCAUACCGGCGCCCGACUGACGCUGAGGCACGAAAGCGUGGGGAUCGGACAGG
rnacentral:rRNA from 1 species